UACGAAGGGGGCUAGCGUUGCUCGGAAUUACUGGGCGUAAAGCGCACGUAGGCGGCUUUCUAAGUCGGGGGUGAAAUCCUGGAGCUCAACUCCAGAACUGCCUUCGAUACUGGAGAGCUUGAGUCCGGGAGAGGUGAGUGGAACUGCGAGUGUAGAGGUGAAAUUCGUAGAUAUCAGGAGGAACACCAGUGGCGAAGGCGGCUCACUGGCUCGAUACUGACGCUGAGGUGCGAAAGCGUGGGGAGCAAACAGG
rnacentral:rRNA from 1 species